GGGAGGCAGCAGUGGGGAAUCUUGGGCAAUGGCCGAAAGGCUGACCCAGCGACGCCGCGUGUGGGAGGACGCCCUUCGGGGUGUAAACCACUGUCAGGGGGGACGAAUGCCGGUAUGGUGAACAGCCAUGCCGGGUGACGGUACCUCCAGAGGAAGCGCCGGCUAACUCUGUGCCAGCAGCCGCGGUAAGACAGAGGGCGCGAGCGUUGUUCGGAAUCAUUGGGCGUAAAGCGCGCGCAGGCGGGUGCGCAAGUCGGGAGUGAAAUUCCGGGGCUCAACUCCGGAGCGGCUUCCGAAACUGCGUGUCUAGGGACCGGUAGGGGUCGGUGGAAUUCCCGGUGUAGCGGUGGAAUGCGUAG
rnacentral:rRNA from 1 species